rnacentral:tRNA from 1 species
GCCUGGCUGGCUCUGUUGUUAGAGCGUUGGACUCCUGAUCUCUGGGUUGUGAGUUCAAGUCCCAUGUUGGGUG